rnacentral:rRNA from 1 species
CAAUAGCGUAUACUAAUGUUGUUGCAGUUAAAAGCUCGUAGUCGGAUUUCAGUUUGAGUCGGUUGUACUACUUAUUGUACGGCUUAUUCUUACUUCUUUGACGGAAACUUUCAUGUUAUUCAUUUAGCGUGUUUUGCGACCGUCUCUUUUACUUUGAGAAAAUUAGAGUGUUCAAAGCAGGUACUUCGCCUGAAUAUUACUCUUGGAAUAAUAAUAUAAGACUCCGGUUCUAUUUUGUUGGUGACUAGGACCAGAGUAAUGAUUGAUAGGGACGGUUGGGGUCAUUCGUACUGCAAAGCGAGAGGUGAAAUUCUUGGACCUUUGUAUGACGAACAACUGCGAAAGCAUUUGACUAGGACGUUCCCGUUGAUCAAGAACGAAAGUUGGGGGAUCGAAGACGAUCAGAUACCAU